rnacentral:rRNA from 1 species
GGUAACGGCUCACCAAGGCCACGAUGCAUAGCCGACCUGAGAGGGUGAUCGGCCACAUUGGGACUGAGACACGGCCCAAACUCCUACGGGAGGCAGCAGUAGGGAAUCUUCGGCAAUGGACGAAAGUCUGACCGAGCAACGCCGCGUGAGUGAAGAAGGUUUUCGGAUCGUAAAACUCUGUUGUUAGAGAAGAACAAGGAUGAGAGUAACUGUUCAUCCCUUGACGGUAUCUAACCAGAAAGCCACGGCUAACUACGUGCCAGCAGCCGCGGUAAUACGUAGGUGGCAAGCGUUGUCCGGAUUUAUUGGGCGUAAAGCGAGCGCAGGCGGUUUCUUAAGUCUGAUGUGAAAGCCCCCGGCUCAACCGGGGAGGGUCAUUGGAAACUGGGAGACUUGAGUGCAGAAGAGGAGAGUGGAAUUCCAUGUGUAGCGGUGAAAUGCGUAGAUAUAUGGAGGAACACCAGUGGCGAAGGCGGCUCUCUGGUCUGUAACUGACGCUGAGGCUCGAAAGCGUG